rnacentral:rRNA from 1 species
GCAGCAUGCCGCGUGAGUGAUGAAGGCCUUCGGGUUGUAAAGCUCUUUUUUCAGGGACGAAAAUAUCGGUACUAGCAGAAGAAUCACCGUCUGAUUACUUGCCGGCAGCCGCCGCUAUACGACGGCGGCUGCGGUUGUUCGGAGUUACCGGGGGUAAUGCGGAUUCAGUGGGUUUUCCAAGUCGGCAGCGGAAUCAUCUAGCUAAUCUUCAAAACUACCCCCUAAACUACUAUUCUGCAAUUGAUUCGAAGGGGCUGGAAUUAUUUGUGGUGAAGUGAAAUAUGUAGUGUAGCGUGGAAAUAACACUGGUUGAGAUGGCACACUACUGCGGUACUGACGCUACUAUCCGAAAGCUGGCGGUGAAAAAAGGAAUAGAUACCC